AUGUCCGGCUUCGUCGGGGUCGUCGUCUCCGACCCCUCCCUGCAGGGCCAGUUCACGCAGGUCGAGCUCCGAUCGCUCAAGGCCAAGUUCGUGUCUCUGAAGAGGGACUCCGGCCAUGUCACCACCAAGAACCUCCCGGGGCUGAUGAAGAAGCUCAGGGGACUUCACGAAGUGGUCCCCGAGGAGGAGAUCGCCGCUUUCUUGUCGGAGUCGUACCCCGACAGCGACCAGGAGAUUGAGUUCGAGUCCUUCCUCCGGGAGUACCUGAAUCUGCAAGCAAGGGUAAGCGCCAAGGAAGGAAGCGCCACUGCUGGCGGCGGCGGGGCUGGCGGCCGCAAGAACUCGUCGUCGUUCCUCAAAUCCACCAUCACUACGCUGCUGCACAAUCUCAACCAGGCGGAGAAGUCUUCUUACGUGGCGCAUAUUAACACUUACCUUGGUGAAGACCCAUUCUUGAAGAAGUACUUGCCAAUCGACCCAUCCGGCAACCAGCUAUUCGAUCUUAUUAGGGAUGGUGUGCUGCUCUGUAAGUUGAUCAAUGUAGCUGUACCUGGGACCAUUGAUGAGAGAGCAAUAAAUAAGAAAAGAGUUCUUAACCCAUGGGAGAGGAAUGAAAACCACACACUGUGCCUCAACUCUGCAAAGGCCAUUGGAUGUACUGUUGUCAACAUUGGCACCCAGGAUUUAGUGGAAGGAAGGCCUCAUUUAGUUCUUGGAUUGAUAUCUCAAAUCAUAAAGAUUCAACUUUUGGCUGAUCUUAAUCUUAAGAAGACACCCCAGCUUGUGGAAUUGUUUGAUGACAGUAAGGAUAUAGAUGAGGUGUUGAGCUUGUCACCAGAAAAGAUGCUGCUUCGAUGGAUGAACCAUCAUCUGAAAAAGGCUGGCUACAAGAAAACUGUUAACAAUUUCUCUUCGGAUGUGAAGGAUGGUGAAGCCUAUGCUUAUCUUCUAAAGGCUCUUGCUCCAGAGACUUCCCCUGAAACCACACUGGAGACUAAGGAUCCUGAUGAAAGGGCAAAAAUGGUACUUGAACAAGCAGAGAAGUUGGACUGCAAAAGAUACCUUACACCAAAGGAUAUAACUGAGGGUUCUGCCAACUUGAAUCUUGCAUUUGUUGCACAAAUAUUCCAGCAUCGGAAUGGUCUAACUAGUGACAUUAAACAAGUUACACUCACACAGUCAGCAUCACGUGAUGAUGUUCUAGUAUCCAGAGAAGAAAGGGCCUUCCGAAUGUGGAUCAACAGCCUUGGGGUCGAGUCAUACGUGAAUAAUGUUUUUGAAGAUGUUCGCAAUGGAUGGGUACUUCUUGAAGUACUUGACAAAGUUUCUCCUGGAUCUGUCAAUUGGAAGUUGGCAUCAAAACCUCCAAUUAAGUUGCCAUUUAGGAAACUGGAGAACUGCAAUCAAGUUGUAAAAAUUGGGAAGGAGUUAAAGUUUUCAUUAGUAAAUUUAGCUGGGAAUGAUAUUGUUCAGGGAAAUAAGAAAUUGAUAGUUGCACUUCUGUGGCAAUUGAUGAGAUUUAAUAUCCUUCAAUUGCUAAACAGACUGAGAUCCCACUCCAAAGGAUCCCAAGGAAAGCAAAUUACUGAUGCAGAUAUACUGAACUGGGCAAACAGCAAAGUGAAAACAUCCGGAAGAACAUCUCGAAUGGAAAGCUUCAAGGAUAAGAGCUUAUCAAAUGGAGUGUUCUUUCUUGAACUUCUUAGUGCAGUUCAGCCAAGGGUUGUGAACUGGAAAGUGGUUACAAAGGGAGAAGCUGACGAGGAAAAGAAGCUAAAUGCUACCUACAUCAUUAGUGUUGCAAGAAAGCUCGGAUGUUCUGUGUUUCUACUGCCAGAGGACAUCAUAGAGGUGAACCAGAAGAUGAUCCUAACUCUUACAGCUAGCAUCAUGUAUUGGAGCCUGCUGAGACAACCACAGCCUGAAAUAUCUGAAGCAUCAGAGCCAUCUAGCAUGGCUUCGGACGCAACUUCCGACAUUGGCUCGGAGGAUGGUGCUUCGACAGCGGCACCGUCUGAGAGCGAAGAGGCAAACUCACUGUCCGACAGUCUAUCCACCCUGACCACAGACGACGCCACCUCAAAUGCUCCAGCUGCAGAAAACGGGAACGACGCCACCCCAGAUGCUCCACUUGCAGAAAACGGGAACGACGCCACCCCAGAUGCUCCACCUGCAGAAAACGGGAACGACGCCACCCCAGGUGCUCGACCUGCAGAAAACGGGAACGACGCCACAUGA
rnacentral:rRNA from 1 species